CUGGGCGUUAAGUUGCAGGGUAUAGACCCGAAACCCGGUGAUCUAGCCAUGGGCAGGUUGAAGGUUGGGUAACACUAACUGGAGGACCGAACCGACUAAUGUUGAAAAAUUAGCGGAUGACUUGUGGCUGGGGGUGAAAGGCCAAUCAAACCGGGAGAUAGCUGGUUCUCCCCGAAAGCUAUUUAGGUAGCGCCUCGUGAAUUCAUCUCCGGGGGUAGAGCACUGUUUCGGCAAGGGGGUCAUCCCGACUUACCAACCCGAUGCAAACUGCGAAUACCGGAGAAUGUUAUCACGGGAGACACACGGCGGGUGCUAACGUCCGUCGUGAAGAGGGAAACAACCCAGACCGCCAGCUAAGGUCCCAAAGUCAUGGUUAAGUGGGAAACGAUGUGGGAAGGCCCAGACAGCCAGGAUGUUGGCUUAGAAGCAGCCAUCAUUUAAAGAAAGCGUAAUAGCUCACUGGUCGAGUCGGCCUGCGCGGAAGAUGUAACGGGGCUAAACCAUGCACCGAAGCUGCGGCAGCGACACUAUGUGUUGUUGG
rnacentral:rRNA from 1 species